rnacentral:rRNA from 1 species
AUGAUCCGCUUCUUGAUCCCGCGGAUGAGGUCGACGCUGUUCACCUUCUCGGUGUUGAUCAGGUCGCAGAUUUCGAGGUUGGCGGCCCAGUCGGGCCCCUCGAGGGUCUCGGCGGUGGCGUCCUCGACGAUCUUGUCGGCCGGGGUCUGCGCCUGGAAGAGCUCCUUCAUCUUGAAGCUCAUGGAGCUCAUGCCGGCCUGCAUCUGCUUGCCCACCUCCGACCCGGUGAUCUUGAGGCGCUCGCCGAGGGCGUUCACUUUCUCCAUCAGAUUGUCGCUCAUUUUCGCUGCCAAUACGCAAAGAAAAAUCGCACGGCACCGUUAG